CAGAAAGCUGCCAGAGCUGCAGAUCUCUGCAGAUCUCUGAAGAUGAAGGUUGGGGACGAUUGGGUGCUCUGUUUCCCAGAACUCCCCAAUAUCUCCUGCUGGAAGCCACCGUCUAAUUGGGCUGAAACAUUGUUCAUUGACAUUGUACUGUACUCCAUCUCUGCCCUCACUGCAGUCCUCAACCUGUUCAUCAUCAUCUCAGUGUCCCACUUCAGGUAAAGAUUAACUUUCUAGUUUCUCUUAACAGGUUUUUAACUUUCAACAUGUGAAGGACUGCUGUAUAUUAAGAAGAAUUGUCUUUGAACAGGCAGCUCCACACACCGACCAACAUCCUCCUCCUCUCUCUGGCUGUCUCAGAUUUACUUGUGGGCCUCCUGCUGAUGCCAGCAGAUACUGCAGCCUGGCUCCUGUGAGGCCAACAUACUGUAGAGAAGCUGUGGAAGGAGGACAUAAUGAAAUUGACUGUGACCUUCUUCCUGUGUGGGAUCUGUAAAUGUUUUUUUGAGUGUUUCACAGGUCUGCCUGUCUGGGCCACACGAAAUACUCAA